CGCUGUUUGUCCGCCAAGACACAUGCAAUCACGCUAAUCAUCCAUCCGAAGAACAACGCGGCCUGUCUGAAACGAGACAAAAGUUUCAAAAACUGUGUGAAAAUGAACGUUUUCAUGACAAUUAAGUGCCAGCUUCUGCGACUCACUAGAAAGGAAGGCGACCGAAUACUUAAUUAAAACUUUGGACAACUUAGCUAAUAGUUUCUCAUUUUUCUUUUUAGAGUGACUGAAAAGUAAAAUAAAAUCUGAUAGUAAAAGGAAUAAUGAUAAAUGGAAUUAGUUGAUGUCGCAUUUUGUACAAGGGCUCCAAAUUGAAGACUAGCAUGGUAGCAUCAAGUUUUUUUGAGCGGACGAACGUGUCGUUUUUCGAUUGUUUUCCUUUUUCUGUGCACGUGGAUCCUUUGGACGACAACGUCGGGAUUUAAGCAGAAUGGUUUAACGAGUUCUGAAGGCACCGCACAGCUGGUUGGAAUGUUCCAUCACGGUUUAUGGAAGCAUCUGCCACUCACAGAAGCGAAUAAUGGAUCAAUUAUUUAAGGAGCCCGGCAAUUACGCGGGCCUCCUCCGUGGAUGUAAUUGCAGUGGGGGCAGCUUCCUGACUGAGCAGACUGCUUGCUUGCCCACCACUAGGGAGACCGGCUUCAUCAGUUCUGGCAGCCCCAGCUUUGAUGUCUUUCUCGAGCCCACGAGACCAAUCUAUAGAUCUAUUUUGCGUGAUCUGGAAUGAGAAGCGCUCUCACCUGUACCAGUCCAGGCCCUUGUGGUAGUUGCGGUCGAAGAAGUGCGGUUCUGCCCCCG